ACGGAGGAUGCGAGCGUUAUCCGGAUUCAUUGGGUUUAAAGGGUGCGUAGGCGGACUUAUAAGUCAGUGGUGAAAUCCUGCAGCUUAACUGUAGCACUGCCAUUGAUACUGUUAGUCUUGAGUUUGGUUAAGGUAGGCGGAAUGUGUAAUGUAGCGGUGAAAUGCUUAGAUAUUACCCAGAACACCAAUUGCGAAGGCAGCUUACUGGACCGAUACUGACGCUGAUGCACGAAAGCGUGGGGAGCGAACAG
rnacentral:rRNA from 1 species